rnacentral:rRNA from 1 species
UACAGAGGGGGCAAGCGUUGUUCGGAAUUACUGGGCGUAAAGGGCGCGUAGGCGGCCGCCUAAGUCAGACGUGAAAUCCCUCGGCUCAACCGGGGAACUGCGUCUGAUACUGGGUGGCUUGAAUCCGGGAGAGGGAUGCGGAAUUCCAGGUGUAGCGGUGAAAUGCGUAGAUAUCUGGAGGAACACCGGUGGCGAAGGCGACUCUUUGGUCUGUAACUGACGCUGAGGCGCGAAAGCCAGGGGAGCAAACGGG